ACUGCCGGUGACAAACCGGAGGAAGGUGGGGAUGACGUCAAGUCAUCAUGGCCCUUACGGCCAGGGCUACACACGUGCUACAAUGGUCGGUACAAAGGGUUGCCAAGCCGCGAGGUGGAGCUAAUCCCAUAAAACCGAUCGUAGUCCGGAUCGCAGUCUGCAACUCGACUGCGUGAAGUCGGAAUCGCUAGUAAUCGUGAAUCAGAAUGUCACGGUGAAUACGUUCCCGGGCCUUGUACACACCGCCCGUCACACCAUGGGAGUGGGUUGCUCCAGAAGUAGCUAGUCUAACCGCAAGGGGGACGGUUACCACGGAGUGAUUCAUGACUGGGGUGAAGUCGUAACAAGGUAGCCGUAGGGGAACCUGCGGCUGGA
rnacentral:rRNA from 1 species